rnacentral:tRNA from 1 species
GCGCUCGUAGCUCAGUCGGAUAGAGCAACGGCCUUCUAAGCCGUGGGUCGCAGGUUCGAUUCCUGCCGGGCGCA